rnacentral:rRNA from 1 species
ACGAACGCUGGCGGCGUGCUUAACACAUGCAAGUCGAACGGUGAAGCUCCAGCUUGCUGGAGUGGAUCAGUGGCGAACGGGUGAGUAACACGUGAGCAACCUGCCCCUGACUCUGGAAUAAGCGCUGGAAACGGCGUCUAAUACUGGAUACGAGAAGGGUCCGCAUGGGCACUUUCUGGAAAGUUUUUCGGUUGGGGAUGGGCUCGCGGCCUAUCAGCUUGUUGGUGAGGUAAUGGCUCACCAAGGCGACGACGGGUAGCCGGCCUGAGAGGGCGACCGGCCACACUGGGACUGAGACACGGCCCAGACUCCUACGGGAGGCAGCAGUGGGGAAUAUUGCACAAUGGGCGAAAGCCUGAUGCAGCGACGCCGCGUGAGGGAUGACGGCCUUCGGGUUGUAAACCUCUUUCAGCACGGAAGAAGCGAAAGUGACGGUACCUGCAGAAGAAGCACCGGCUAACUACGUG